CCGCCGCCCAGGGCCAGGCUCGCCGCGCCUCCCGGCCGGGGUUGCGGCUCCACGCCCGAGGCGGAGACCACGAGGAGGAGCCGGGCGGCCCCCGCGAAGUGGGGCUGGGGGUGGCGAACCCCGCAGUCCUCCUCUUCCUCCUCCGCGCCGGUGCGCACGGAGCCAACAUGGUGGAGGCGAGCGGAGCGGCCGCUCCCCGGGCGGCCCCGCCGUGCGGAGGGAACCGGGGCUUGCGCUGCGCGGCGGCUUCGGGGCCGAGGCGUGGGCCGGGGCUCGGCCGAGAGCAGCCGCCGCCCCCCGGCCCUGCCUCCGGCGCCUGGACCCGAGGGGGUCGUGGGACCUUCGUCGGGGUAAAUGGGGGUGGGGGGCCGAGCCGCUGAGCUGCCGCCGCCGUGCCGGGCGGGUGAGCUCGGUAAGCCUCUCUCGACAGAGAGAACCUGAAAUAUUCUGGCAGCGGAGCGCUUCUGCGUGGCGCGGCAAAAGCGAACACAAAUUACUUUAAAACUCCUCAACCGGGUAUCUCCAGGUGGGCCGCGGCUUAGGCUCGGUAAAUUUGAUUUAUUCGGCUCAAAAGAGAGGCAAAGCGGUCCUUCCGACGCGUGGGCGCUGCGGGGGGGGCGGGCGCUGCGGCGGCGGGCGCGGGAAAGCCCGGUGCGGCACCGCAGGACGAACCUGCCGCCCGAAGGCUGGGCAAAGAGCAGGGCUGUAAAUAACGCGCCACUCACCCCGUGGGAUUUUAUGUUACGGGUUUCCCGCUCGCUGCAGCUCCAGAAAUCAGAGUUUUGCAUUUUAAGUAAUAAAAAAUUGGAUUUGUGUCAAGGUGGGCUUCAUGGAGGAGGGUCGCUCAGAUGCAUCUGGCCUUCAGAAUCGCAGACUGCAGGAUGAAGCGAAAGGAAAGAAAAGAAAAAAGAAAUAAUCCUGAAGUUUACACGGGCAAAUCGGCAGUUCUCAUUUAGGAUUAUCUUUUACUGUUUUCAGUUCUCUAGUAGGCAAAUUCGGCACUAGAAUAGCGUUUACUUCUCUUGCCUCUUUAUUUGGUUCCAAGGCUGAACAUAAAACAGUAAUUGUAUUGAUCGCUAAUGUUAAUCUAAUCUAAUCUAUAUUUAAUCUAAAAAAAAAAAAUCAGAACAGAAUGUCCAAUUAAUCUUCCAGGCAAUGCUGUGGAGUAAAGCCAUUUGUAUUUUUAACUUAAGAUAAAGCAAAUACAUAUAUUUGCUUUUACAGGACCAUAAAUACACUAAGCAGUUAACAAAAUAUAAAAAAGCAAGAGUGUUUUAGAUUUGGAGGUUCGUUACCAUAAAUCAUACUCACGUAAUCCUGUUAGAGUGGUGGAGUUUAUCAUGUUUCUGUUGUGUCAGGAGCCUAAAUCACAUUAUACAGAAUUGAUUUUUAAUUUAGAAAUCAACAGCGAGUUUUACAAAUUGACCUGGGCGAUGAAUUACUUACCCGAGGAGGAGUGUUUGCAGACUGGUCAGAGCUCUGGGUCUGCCACGGCUUCACGGCACCAGCUGAGCUUACGUUAGUCUUGAGCGAGAGCAAGGUUUGACCUCCAUUAUUAGUUGUGGGGUUUUUUUAUACGCAGGCAAGCAUUGCUGCAUGGCUCGUUUUACAGUACAAUGGUAAAACUUGCGUUUCUGAAAAACAGAAUGAGCCCAAAGUGUGUCAUCACCUUCAUUAGGUUUCAAAGUUACUCAUUUUUCUUAAGAAAUUUUUCAGCAUUGGGAUAAAGCUUUAUAGUUGAAGGAAUAUUGUCUCUUGCCAGCUGUCACCGUAAUUUGACUUCUAGGUUUCAGGCCCAGGGUUGAUGGGUGGGAUUACAUAGCUGUCCUUCCUCCCAGCAGCUGGCUGUGCCUGCGUAGUACUGAAAGGUUCGCUGGGAUUCUCAGUCCAUUGCAGCUCUCCCAUUGCUUUCUCUCCUUUGCACCAAUAUAAGGAAUGAAUUGGUGGGUUUCUGAAAGGCUGAGUUGUUAACCAUGGCCUCUACUUGCUGUUGUACGUGUGCUGUCGGCUGCCACUGAUAGUACCGGGGCUGCGCCAAUGAUCAACUUUGGUCAAUAGUGGAGAGACCAGCAUGCUUAAUUCCAUGCACAGUGUGAUUAAAAUAGCAGAGCAGUUGGGAAGAAGACGAGAUGGCCAGUCUCAUAACUGAGCACAAGCUCAGACCCACACCAUAUGGGGGUGAAAGAAUAGAUGAGGGUUUGAGUCUGGAGUCUUAGAGGCCAGACAUGCUUUCAUCGCAGUGGAAAAUUUGGCUGCUUCUUAAAUUGCCUUGCACUUGUUACUGACAGUCUGAGCGUUCCUCAUUUUUAUAAGGAAAUGUUGAACAGGUGACUUAAAACCAUCAAACUGCUGGUGGUUCAGUCCAUUUAACCCUGCACUGGAGGGGACUCGGGGCAACAUUGCCGCCAUCUGCCUGCGAGCCAGCCUGCAGCCUGGUGCCACAGUUUACCCCGAUAGAGCUCCUUUACGCUGCUGCUCUGCUCUAACAGUGGGUUCCCAAUUCUGUUGCAGUGCUGAGAGUGCUAUGAGCCCUGCAGGUGGACUGACACCGCUCAGGAGGCAUCAGCUGAAACUGGCACCAGUCUGAGCUGCGAGUCAGCUAGGGCCAGUGCCUCCUUUUAGGAAUUUCCCAUCCCUUUUAUUCUUUUUGUUUGAAUUAUUAUUUUUGACUUUGUCCAGGAAGGGGAGGGAGGAGCUGCCCUCGUAUGCUUUGGCAUGGCUGGAAUAUGGUGUGAGAUGCUACUGCUGUAGGGGUUCGUUGCUCCUGUUUGCUGGAUAGUUUCCCAAAUAGCCCUUCAGACAGGCUCAGCAUUUACUAACUCCUCAGCUGCAUUGCGUUUUUAGCUGACAUUAACAUAAUCUUAAAGAUUUGUGCAAAUAGUAUAUGGAGAACUCCUUCCUUGAUGUAGGCUAUCUUUGAAAAUUCUCAUAUAUUUGAAUUAAUUUCUAAAGAAGGUGAUAAUUUAUACACUCCUUAAUGUUUUUUUUUUUGUUGUUCAAAUUACUCAACGAUUAGUAGGAUCAUGUAUAUAUUAUGCCAGAUGAAGUAUUUUUAGGGUUAUGGGGGGAAUACAGGCAUAAGAGCAGAAAGAAAGAAGGAGGAACAGAGGAAUAGAGAUGGACGAAGGCAGACCGAGAUAUUUCAGGCAUUGAUACGGGUUCAGUGAUUUGUGAUUGGGGAAUAGAGGACUUGUAUCCUGAGAUUUUGAAGGAGAUGGGCAGACUGAUUUUCUGGUGAGCUUUAACAGUACGUGCCAAAGGUUAAUCUAUGGUACACAUUAUAGUAACUUGGAAACAUUGAGACGUUGUUGAAAACACUUGUUGGGAUUCUACUCCAAUAAAUUGGAAUAAACAGAAAAAUAUUGUGGUGUUUCAUGGUCUCCUGCAAACAAUUCUUUCUUUUAAAAGAAAUAAAAUGUUUUGCUGGACCUAAAUUCAUUCCUUUAUUUUGAGAAAUAACUAUGGUAGUUAAGGUCUCAUCCCAGCUGUCACUUACUCUUUGAAAGUGUGGAUAAUAAUGACAUUUUAUAGCAGCAUCUCUCAAAAAUCAUGGGCCAAGUUUCCAUUGCUCAUUGUGUUGUGUGAUCACAUUACAAAAAGUGGUUCUUCUUGGAAUUAAUUAGUAUUAGUCACAUGCUUACUUCUAAGCACUUGCAUAAAUAUUUUUAAUAAUAGGGAGUUCAGCAAAUCAUAGAUGUUUCUUUUGAAUCUGAAUAUUCUAUGUGCUACUUGAAAAAUAUGGGUAGUUUUAGUCAUGUUAAUUUCUUCAAGUGACACUAUUAAUAAAAUCAUUGAUCUUUAAAAGUGAAACAUCUUCCUUGGAUAUAAUGCAAACUGCAUAUGAAUAUAGUGGUUCAGUAAGGAAAUGGAGUGCUAAGCCCCUGCAUGAUGGAUCUGUCAUUGUUUCCUGUUCUGAAGCAAGUAUUCUGUUCAAGCUAUAUGUUAAUCUUCAAAACAUUUUCAUCACAGAUGUCCCAUUUUGCCUUGAAAUGCUUCUGCAUUUCCAAAUGGGCAGGAUCUUUGUGUUUGGUGUGCACACCUAUUUGCAAGAUUAAAUAUUCCCUUCUUUCUCAGAUAGAAUUUCUGUUUGAUCUUGUGUAACAUGACUGAUCACUUGGGCAUAUAAUACUUUUAGCAAGUGUGUGGAGGGUUAUUUUUUAAAAAGUUGAUUCAAAUGGUGUUUUUGAAAUCAUUUAAAGUUACUUUUGAAAGCAUGCUAGGCUUUAUCUUGGAAAACUGUCUACUUCCAAACCUGUUGCUAUUUACAUUUGUGUCACAUCCAGUUAUAUCAGACACGCUGGAUUACAUUGUAUAAUGAAAGCCGUAUUGCUGUACUCUAAUCUUUAUCUCUUUAUAUCCGAUCGCCUUUGAAUUACACGAGUAUUGCUUAUGGUUACUUAAAAUAACUACUGCUUUUGUUUCAAGGGCAGUGCUAAAUAUGAUGAAUGCUUAACACUCAACCCUGCUUUGGCAGCAGCUACACAUCCUGUAUCUUUGGUUCUUGCAUGAUUUAAUUUGGAAGCCGCACAGAUAUGUGCAUUUUUUAAUUUUUUCAUUUAAAUUUCAUAUUUGAAAAAUCUGAAGCCUGUGAAAUCAUACAGGUCCAGAAAAAAAUUAAUGCAUUCACUUGGGCCUCUGUACUCUUCUGAGAGAUUUGGAACAUAUGCUCUCCUCCUCACAAAGUGGGUCAUGUACUUUUAGUCAGAAAGGAAAGGGACAAACAGUAGGAGAAAAAGAAGUACGUGUAAGUAAAGCUGGCCUGAACUGACUUUGGUUUUGAGAUCACUGCCUAAGAUAUUGCUGUGGAAGAAAUGCUUAAUAAUGUUGUUAGCUGCAAAAUCCAAGUUAAUAGAGCAUUUAGGGAGCGCUGCUGGGGGAUUCUGCAUCAAAGUCUACUUUUUCCAGGGCACCCUGAAUUUUAGCUGUUGAACACACGUGCUGUUGCGGUGCUUUUUUACAUGACUUCAUAAAAUGGAGCCAAGUGAAACAUAAUUCAACAACUUUCUUUUUACAAAGACAUAGCAACUAUAUAUGGAGUCUUAAUGUGGCCCUGUGGGAUCAGCCUUUCCUAACCAGCCUCCUCUUUGUCUGCACCAUCAUUCUUGUUGCUGCUGUAUUCCCGCAUCUUAUUCUCCUCAUCGUCAUCGGUAGUUAGUUCUUAUGUUAGGCCUUGCUUCAGACUCUGUAUGGUCCUUUCCUCUGAGCUCCCACCCUGGCUAGAGAUGGACAAAUUCCUCAGGCCUGUGUCUGGGCCCUUUAUGAUGCAUUAUUGCUUAACAGAUCAUCUGAAUUUUCCAUGCCAGGUUGUUAUUCUUGCCCUAAUGCUUUGAGGAUAAUUCUCUGUCACAACCCUGGGCACCAGAAAGCCUUCCUUCUUAAUUUAGAGAUGAAUGUGAUGAAGUUUAUUACUUUGGGAAUAGUUCCAGGAACAAAAUCAUCCCCUCAGUCCAGGAUGCCAGGCAAAUCCUUAGAGCAGAGCUUCGAUCAGGAUGGCGGUGUUCACCAGUACAGGUGGACAUAACUGUUGUACACAAUGUAGAGAUCUCAGAAAACCAGACAGCCAUCAGAUGUGUGGGUUUUUCUCAGCAUGCCUCUAUCUCUGUUGUUUCUCCCCCCAUCGUCCAUUUUCUCAUCACCGUUCCUUCAGCUGGAGGUUACAGUCCCCUCAGGUCUGCUGGCAUAACUACAACUAUAGUGUUUUUUUCUAGUUUUCCAGAUCUGCCAGCAUGACCUUAGUUUAUAUCCCCUAAUAGUUUUCUAAAAACCAAGAUUAUAUUGAUGCAACUUUUCUAGGGAGUAAUAUGUAUACAGUUGUGCUCACUGAUCAAGGAAAGAGGUUACAGGCCAGGGAGGAGACCAGUGACUUCUUAUCCUACCUCAGCUGCAGCCAGAACAGUCUGAAUUUUCUGAAAUUUCAUUGUUUAGGAAAAUGUGACUGCUUGAUAGAUGAGGAGAGAAGAGUGGUGGUGGGGAGUAGGAAAGACUAGGUGGCCGUUUUCCUGGUGUUUCACUGUUACUUUGCAUUCAUCUUUUUCAGUUCCCACCUUGCUCCAGGCAAAUAUCCUUUUGUUCCCUUAUUGCUUUCUGCUUUGCUCCCCUGAAGCAGCUGCAGUCUCUUCCAUUCUUCCAGUAGAAUCUGCACUGGGGUGAAUGAGUGAGUCAUGAACAAGGCAGGCGAGGUAACAACUACUCGAAAAGAGGCACCUGUGGAAAACCUGAUUUUUAAAAUCUGAAAAACGUUAGAAGAUGGAAAAAGCCUGGGUUUAUUAAAAGCAGAGCUGGUAGCCUUUCCAGUGGUUAAUGACCACUAGUACUGUUUGUAAGAGUUUUCAGUUGCCUAUAACCACCCAACUUCAACUUCUUAGGCUAAGAUUGCUCUUGGCAAUUGCCUGCCUCACUGCUGUGAUGCUUGCAAUGUGAUAAUCUGCAGCUUUCUCAUGUCAGAAGGAAGCAACUUUGCCAGCUGAUUUGUAGAGAAGCACCUGUUAUUUCCAAACUGGGGGCAGUCAUUUGAAAUUUAGCAAGUCUCUCAUGCUGAUGUCAUGGGUAUGCCGUUUGUAGUAUUUGUUAAUAAUACAUCCAUGUCUACCUGGCGGUAAGUAAGCCUCUGCACAGUCUUGCUUCACGUGUAGGGGCUUACUAGAUCUAAGGUGAGUUUUCCAAAAACUCUAUCUGCAUAUCCUCCCACAGGUCCUACUGGCGAAGGAGGCUGGAGAUGCUCCGUUCCAAGGCUUCAAAGGCUAAGCCAGCAUUUCUUUGCAAUUAGGUAGGAACGCAGAGCUGGAAUGGACCUCCCACCACGCAACAACUAUUGUGGGAAAAUGGUAGCAGCUCUUCCCUUUUCCACCUCUUGCUUAAAAGGAAAAAACAUAAAAGAAUUAAUAAGUAAGGAAAACUACUUCCAAGUUGCUCCUCUUUUUGUUCUGCAUGCUCCUGAUUUGUCCUGCUGUUUUAUCACUGUGCUUCUUUUGCAUCUGGCUCUUGGGGGCAAAAAGGAGCAGAACAGAACCCAACCUAAGCCCUGCUCCAUGAGUGUGGAAGCCAGUGAUGAUAUAUUACAGCUGCCCAGAAGCUUUUUGUUCAUACUCUUCAAAAGGGGAAAAAAGGCUGCUAUAAAGGUUCAGGAGAACUAAGUACAUGCCUUGAAUUCAGAACUGGAAGCUAUAAAAAGGACAAUUUAUACUUUUUAAUUAUUAUUAUUUUGAGAACGGAGGGUUUUACCAACAUACAUUUCUCUAAAUUUUGAGUUAUUUUAAGAAACAGAGCUGGCAAGUAUUCCUUUUUUGUCUUCUUUGUAUAUACAAGUAAUUAUCCUGUUGUUUCAGAGAAUUCUAAAACUUUGGAGGGAAUAUAAAAAUAUUUAAAUUUUUUUGAAAACUAACAUCAUAUUUCACUAUUUUCUUAUGUAUCCUACAUUUCAUUAAAGAGUUUGGGGAAGCCAGAUAACAUUGCAAAUCUGCUAUUUUAUUUCUCGUGGAAUAAAUUGCAAAUGAUGGGAUAAAAAAAUACAUUUAUCAUUCUUAUAAUAAUGGGGCAAUGCUAGUUCAUACUAUACAGACAAAUGUAGCUAAAGAAAAGAAGAAAAAUGUUAGCUAAAGAAAAAUACAUGGCAUUAGAGAUUACAUUAGUAUGGCUCAUAUGCUUCUUUCUUCUGUUUGUUUUUCCUUUCACUUUUGGUUAAAGUGGGAUUUUCCAAAACACAAGAAUAUGCUUAUCCUACUCCUUGUUCCUUCAGAAUAGAGCCUAUUGAAAAUCAGACUGUGUGUUCUACAUUGUCCCAUAUUUUUGCUUUUGUUUUCUAAUUGGGAAGAAAAAGAAAAUAUGGAACGUUCCAAAAUGUUUCGGUUUUAAAAUGUGGGCUUGGGGACAUCUUUAAUGCAUCAUCAUAACACAACUAGAAGGGACUCAGUUGUUCUUCAUGGAAAAUGUAAUCCAUUCAGGAACGCCAGAUGACAGGGGAGAGAAAUGAGAGACCUAAACCAUGACAAACUCGUGGUGAGUAACAACAAACCAUCCCAAAGAAAAAUAUUUAGAUUCGCUUGGAUAGUUCAAAACAUUUUGGAUUCUUUUUUAUUUUCCCAGAGGGACAUUACAUUGUUUUGGCAUAACCAACUUUUUCCUGUGUAAAAAAGUCAAUAUUACAGGAACCACUUUUCUAUUAAAAACCAUGAACAGAAAAUUCUGGAGCAGGAAUAGAGGGAAGCAGUGAAGCCAAAACCAAGAGCAUUUGAAAAUGUCCUCCCUGGAGAAUGUUAUGACCAUUCCAACCUAGCCAUAAGAUUUUUAUAUGAAGGGUAACUUCUGCGUUAAAUGUGACAAACUUUGUCCUGGCUUCUGUAUCACGGGCAUGCAAGUACGCACAGGUGGAUGGGCAAAAAGAGUUACGAUCACCCUCACGUACGGGAAAGCUGCUUCUUGGACCUCAGCGUAGAUUGCUUCGUGCCGCCAAAUGCAGAAGGGCUCCUUUUAUCAUGGUUCAAUCAUGGGAGCUUGCUCCUUCUCUGAAGCAAAUAUGGAUGUGAAGUUUAUGCAGCUGCAUCCCUCUUUCAUGUUAAUUAUAUCACUCCAAGCGCUUCAGCUAUGAUCCCACACUGCAGUGCCUCACGCUUGAACCAGCCUGCCUAUUUCCCUGGGCGGCUGCCAUGGAAAUUACCUCCCUGCUGAAGUCCUGGCAUGUUACCUAGUCCUCUGUAAUCUGAGUUUCUUUCAAGCUCAUGUACCCGGGAUUCGCCACUGUAGCCAUGCCUCAUGUCUCUGCAUGAUUUCAGCUGAUUUCCCAGUCUGCCUUGGGGAAAAGAGCAUGUCCAGUCUCAUUUAAAAAAAAACCAAAACAUUGCUGAAAACCAAGGAUCUGCAAAGAGAUUCAACAUCUAAAUCAGUUCCCGUGUGGCUAAUAAAUAACAAAAAGCAAUUUUCAAUUCCUAGCAUUGAUGCCCCACUUUAUGAUCCUGAGCAGCUCUCAGAUACAACCCCAUGUCCCUGGCCACAGGCCCUCAUCCCAUACUCCAGAUGCAACACCAUUUCCAACCCUAGCUUUAAACAGAACUUGACUUUAGGCGGUACUGGGCUUGCAAAAUGCAGGAAGCAAAAAUUUUCAUUCCUUUCCACCCAGAACACAUAAUCUCUGCCGUAGAAUAGCUACAAAGCAGUGGCCUCCAUUUCUCAUUAUAAAUCCACUGUGCCAACAGCACUCUUCCUCAAAAGCCUUCUGGCCUUGAAAAAUCCAUAAAGAAACACAGAUCUUCAUUGACAGGCAACCUGAA